GGGCUACACCCGUGGCAUAUGGAGGUUCCUAGGCUAGGAGUCUAAUCGGAGCUCAUGGCAAUGCCGGAUCCUUAAUCCAUUGAGCGAGGCCAGGGAUGGAACCUGCAACCUCAUGGUUCCCUAGUCGGAUUCAUUAACCAUCGAGCCAUGACGGGAACUCCAGUUUCCCUCUUUUCUAUGGCAUCAAUGCCUAACUCUCUUUUCCGAGAGGGAUUAAAACAUGGUAGAGCUUGAACCGCAACAACAAUUUUGAAAAUAGUAAGAAUGCAAUACAGUAAUACUACUACUUACUUUGGUCUCUGUGAAAAGGCUUAGAACUCUCAAAAUCAACCAAUGAGGUUGAUGCACCUUUUUCUCAAGGUAACGAUGCCAGAGAUAGAAGGACAUCCGACACCAAGUGGGCCUCUUCUCUCAUUUGACAGAUAAAAAGUAGGGUGAUUUGAGUAAUUCCAUCCAUUGUGCGAGUGGCAGAGCGGAAACCUGGAAUUAACAUCUCCUAGCCCUUAGGCCCACAACCAUUAGGAUUACAUUUAACCUGUAUUUUCUGAAACUCCCCAUAAUGAUUUUGAUGGGCAGUCAGUGUUGAAAACCGCUGCGGCUUAGAGAGGAAUGUAAGCUCCCCUGGCACCGUGGUGAAGUCACUAGAUCCCUAUCACCUGUAAUGGGUUUUCAACUCUGAUGUGCCUCUUUUGAACAUAUGCUCAAGAACGCAAUCUCCACUGUAACUACGCACACAAGCCCUCUUAACUUUUGUAUUUUUUUCCUUUACUCUGAUCACUUCAAACUCAGAUACAGGUAGCCUAUCAUUCCAGACCACCAUGCUGGGGGGAAAAUUAUUGGAUUUCUACCAUCUUUAGGGAAGACAAAGUUUUCAUAUUCCUUUCCUGGAAGAUAUUCAACCAUUCAAAUCACCAGAAAGACCAGAUAUGACAACAGAAAAGAUGGAUGGAAAUGAACUCUAGCAGCUUCUCCUCCUUGAUUAGGUACCAAAGUAAAUCCAGGAACCCAUUAUAAAGGCACUGCCUUCCGGGACCAACCAUGCCUUUCAGGACCUUAUACUGUUGCUGGAAAACAAAUUAAAUUGCACCAGACUCAUUAAAAGGAGAAGAUUUAGAUCCUUUCUGUUGAGAGAGCAACUUAAGCUUAAACAGAAUAAAAUAUAAAUUUCAGGAUUAGGAGUACAAAAGUCAAAUUUUACGAUCAAGUAGAGUAGCCCCCUCCUUAGAUCCUAGAGUCAAGUUCCUGAAACCCUCAUUCCAGGGGAAUGUGUGUUGGAGGAAUUGAAGAGUUUAGGGGGAAACUGGGGCAGGGCAGGGAAUAAUUAUGAAAGCUCAGGCAAUUGGUUAGUCCACUGAAAUAAAACACUACGUCAAGUGACUUCGGGUGGCAUUUUACUAAUUUUACAUUAGUCAUAGUGAUGACAGGGCAAUUAAUUUCUAUUUCUCUCUGAUCUCAAAGUGAGGAACAUCAUGCAUCAGUGAAAAUGCUGAUCAUCACAGCAGUGACAGGGUUUUGUCUGGAUCUGAGUAAACUCAGUGUCCUGCUUCACUCUCAUUCUUGGGCACACGGAUCAUCACUCAUCAUCAGAGCUGCCAGAGUCUGAAUCCCCAGGUUCAAGCAUCAGUGUGAGGCCCUUGUGCCUGCUUUUUUGGGCAAGGGCUUGAGUGACACAGCCCGGUGGUACAGCCUCUUCUCCCUGUUGAGGCAAGCAGAGAAAACACUUACUGGCCUUUGUUUGGAGGUUUCUUAUUAUUGCUUUAUAAGGUUGUGAGUAAUCAUUUGAGCCUUGCCUGUAGGUCAAUAAAUAUUCCAGCGAAGGAUCUCUUUCCUGUGAAUCACCAUGACAACUUGAUUUGCGGAGUGGGUGCUUCCACAUUCUUUGAGUUCUAGAAGGUAAUCUACGCUGACAUCUUUCAUCAACUUUUGAUGGGAUCCCAUCUCUGAAAUAUUUCUCAACCAUCUUCUGAGGGUGAGAAUCUAACAGUUCAGCAACGUCACUUAAUUCACUGUCUUCGAAUCCGUCACCACCCGUAUGUUCUGCAGAUGCUACCAAAUUUUCAAUUUCUUCAGGCACUGGAAGGAAAGCUUCAGAAUCACUUACAACUUCAUUCCAAAGUUGCUGCCAGUCUCCGUUAAGGGUUGAUCAUUUUCUCUCUCUCACUGAUUCUCCUACUAGUAUCAAAGUGUUACAAAUGGAGAAAUUUUACCAAGCUAUUUCCACGGUAAUUUCUGGUGUCUCUCUCGUAAGAUUUGCCAGGUAGUCAAUCAAAUACACUCCCAGGUGCAAGGGUGGAAAGAGUGGAGAUGUACUGGGGGGAAUACAGCUGCCUUUAAUACAAGGAUCAUGCUUUUGUCAGUGGGAGCCGUGUCCAGAAUCAGUUACACCUCGAAUUCAAGAUGUUUUGGGUUUAAAUACUGUUUAACCUCAGGAACAAAACACUUCAAAAGCCAGUCCAACAGGAAUUUCUCAGUGAUCCAUAUUUUAUGGUUUCCCUUCAUGUACACAGAAAAGUGUUUCUGGCAAUUUCUUUUAAGAGGGCAAGAAAUGUGGAAUCUGUGAAGCAACAGCGGUUUAAUCAGAAAGUCACCAGAAGCACUGGAACAAAGCAGAACUUUGAGCUUAUCUUUUCCAGGCUCGAAGCCUCAGGUCUUUUUCUCAUCCUUCGCAAUAAAUGUGCAAGUAGCCAUGCGCUUCUAGAACAGGACUGUUUCAUCAGCACUGAAGACCUGUUCAGGCAAAUAGCGAUUUUUCUCCAUCAGUUUCUUCGGGUAUCCAGGACAGUCCGCGGCAGCUUCACGGUCGGCUUCCUCUGCCAGCCACUUCUUUUCAUACACACCCUGGUGUUUCUUAAACCUGUCCAACCACGCGUUACUCACGAUGAAUGUUACAAUUUUCCAUCCCGAUCAAAAUUUAAAUUUGCAUUUUUUGCUAGGCUCGCUGGCAGAUGAGGCAAAGAGGCCCAUUCAGCCUUCUCUGUUUUAGAAGCCACAAACACAAAUCUCUUUUCAUUUUCUCUAUUUUGGCAUUUGGAGUUAUGUAUGAUUUUUCUCAAUGAUUCUAGUGUGCCCCUUGGCACACUGACCCUAAUAGCUUUCUUAUUUUUCUUGACUGACUCAUUAAUACCAAAAUAAAUGCCCCGCAGAGGUCUUGGUUUCCCCAUUAGCAAGCAUUUCAGGACCCCUCAUUCUGUUUGCUAGAGACACCACCUUUCUUGUCCUCUCCUCUUCUCUUGCAUUUCUAUCAUCUACCUUCUUGGUUCUUUUCUUUGCUUGGAUGAUAUUCUUACCCAACUUAUACAGACUUACAGUUAUUGAAAGUUUUAUAUCACUGACAAAUACACAACGCUAAUUUCUACUGUAUAAGAAGCAAAUGCCAACAUUCACAGGACAAAUAACAAGGGCAAAAAUUGUUUUGUAUGACUACUCAUGCGCAGAGGGAACGAUAGGCAGAAAAACCAGAUAGCGAGAAAACAUGAGGGUAACUUGAAUUUGCAUACUGUUCCCAAACUCUCAAAGGUGCACACUAGGUAAACCCAAAUUUCUUUUGAGAAUGACUUGCAGUUUUGAAGGGCUCACAGAACUCAGGAGUCAAGGGCAGGCUGCCAGGCUGAGAAGA
rnacentral:lncRNA from 1 species